GUAGCCUAGUGGUUAGAGUGUAGAGGCGGCAGGUAGCCUAGUGGUUAGAAGUGUAGAGGCGGCAGGGUAGCCUAGUGGUUAGAGUGUAGGGGCGGCAGUGUAGCCUAGUGGUUAGAGUGUAGAGGUGACAGGGUAGCCUAGUGGUUAGAGUGUGGAGGCGGCAGGUAGCCUAGUGGUUAGAGUGUAGAGGUGACAGGGUAGCCUAGUGGUUAGAGUGUAGAGGCGGCAGGUAGCCUAGUGGUUAGAGUGUAGAGGUGACAGGGUAGCCUAGUGGUUAGAGUGUUGAGGCGGCAGGGUAGCCUAGUGGUUAGAGUGUAGAGGCGGCAGGGUAGCCUCGUGGUUAGAGUGUGGAGACGGCAGGUAGCCUAGUGGUUAGAGUGUAGAGGUGACAGGGUAGCCUAGUGGUUAGAGUGUAGAGGUGGCAGGUAGCCUAGUGGUUAGAGUGUAGAGGUGACAGGGUAGCCUAGUGGUUAGAGUGUUGAGGCGGCAGGGUAGCCUAGUGGUUAGAGUGUAGAGGCGGCAGGGUAGCCUCGUGGUUAGAGUGUGGAGACGGCAGGUAGCCUAGUGGUUAGAGUGUAGAGGCGGCAGGGUAGCCUAGUGGUUAGAGUGUAGAGGCGGCAGGGUAGCCUAGUGGUUAGAGUGUAGAGGCGGCAGGGUAGCCUAGUGGUUAGAGUGUAGAGGCGGCAGGGUAGCCUAGUGGUUAGAGUGUUGGACUAGUAACCGGAAGGUUGCAAGUUCAAACCCCCGAGCUGACAAGGUACAAAUCUGUCGUUCUGCCCCUGAACAGGCAGUUAACCCACUGUUCCUAGACCAGUUAACCCACUGUUCCUAGACCAGUUAACCCACUGUUCCUAGACCAGUUAACCCACUGUU
ensembl:lncRNA